AGUGGUUCCGAUUCUGCCCAUCGACUAGACUCUCCUACUAGUCGGUGUGACCUUGACUCUGUGCCAGGUCUGUGGAUGCCCACCGUCGUCAAAGCUUAGUAAGUGUUACCCGCUUUCGGACUACCACGCUGCGGCGCACUCCCUACUUCCAGAAGCCUAACAUUUGGAGACAGUGGCCCCUUCUUUGCGAAACUCAAUUAUCAAGUUUCGGACUGAAUUGGGCCUCUCCUUCGUCACCGAUUGAGACACGGUCGUCGGCGCCAUUAUGUCUCUGACGUUCGCAAUAAGCCUAAGUGACCCGCAUUUCCCACGCGUCCGCCGGCCCACACAGUCUACACUUUAGGGCUCCGAAUUGGAGCCUUGACGCAGACUUUGAUGAGCCGAUCUCAUGACCUCUCCCAUUGCCUUAAGUGCCACAUCGUCACUUUACGCAUCUAUAGCACUCCUUGUGGUCUCCGCUUCCGCCAAUGGACCUGUCAAUGACUGCGAGUCCGUGCUUUCGUACCCCUCGUUUUCCCUAAUCUAUGGGGACAUCAGGUACGGGAUUUGCCACGUGUGAUCCAGAACCGCCUAAGCUGGGGAGGUCCCGGGUUCGAUUGCGCAAUUCAACGGCG
rnacentral:rRNA from 1 species